rnacentral:rRNA from 2 species
UAUAAUGCAGUCGAACGCACUCUGGAACUGAUUGAAGAAGCUUGCUUCUGAUUGAAGCUCAUUUGAGUGAGUGGCGGACGGGUGAGUAACACGUGGGUAACCUGCCCUAAAGUGGGGGAUAACAUUUGGAAACAGAUGCUAAUACCGCAUAAAACCUAGCACCGCAUGGUGCAAGGUUGAAAGAUGGUUUCGGCUAUCACUUUAGGAUGGACCCGCGGUGCAUUAGUUAGUUGGUGAGGUAAAGGCCCACCAAGACUGUGAUGCAUAGCCGACCUGAGAGGGUAAUCGGCCACACUGGGACUGAGACACGGCCCAGACUCCUACGGGAGGCAGCAGUAGGGAAUCUUCCACAAUGGACGAAAGUCUGAUGGAGCAACGCCGCGUGAGUGAAGAAGGUUUUCGGAUCGUAAAACUCUGUUGUUGGAGAAGAAUGUAUCUGAUAGUAACUGAUCAGGUAGUGACGGUAUCCAACCAGAAAGCCACGGCUAACUACGUGCCAGCAGCCGCGGUAAUACGUAGGUGGCAAGCGUUGUCCGGAUUUAUUGGGCGUAAAGCGAGCGCAGGCGGUUUUUUAAGUCUGAUGUGAAAGCCUUCGGCUCAACCGAAGAAGUGCAUCGGAAACUGGGAAACUUGAGUGCAGAAGAGGACAGUGGAACUCCAUGUGUAGCGGUGAAAUGCGUAGAUAUAUGGAAGAACACCAGUGGCGAAU